UACGAAGGGGGCUAGCGUUGCUCGGAAUUACUGGGCGUAAAGCGCACGUAGGCGGAUUGUUAAGUCGGGGGUGAAAUCCUGGAGCUCAACUCCAGAACUGCCUCCGAAACUGGCGAUCUUGAGUUCGGGAGAGGUGAGUGGAACUGCGAGUGUAGAGGUGAAAUUCGUAGAUAUUCGCAAGAACACCAGUGGCGAAGGCGGCUCACUGGCCCGAUACUGACGCUGAGGUGCGAAAGCGUGGGGAGCAAACAGG
rnacentral:rRNA from 1 species